ACGACUGCGCGUGACCCUACCUCACGGCAGUCCUCUAGGUGCCUAGCCCGCUCUAAAGUGUCGAAUGACCUAGACCUUACCAGUGGUACCUUGUGCGUGUCUUCCCCAAUAUCGGGGUCCAAGGUCCACGCUUACGUCCACGGUACGGUUUACCGACUACACGGAUCUACGGCUGAUUCUACGGCUCGCCCUCUACGUGCUGGUUCGGCAACCGCCUACCUCCGUGUUGCUGACCACGCCGCGCAGCCGAGCUACACGCCACGCGCACGCAACGGCCACGUGACCUGCCUGCCUACCUACCUGGGCACUGGAGAAGAGGACUUCCACGCCGGUCGCAUUAUCGGGAUUCCACGCCGAUACUCUUCGACUCAGGGGAGUCCCUAUCCGUACCAACUGAAAACUGACUGAUCGUGUAGUGUAGGCCUAACCCACACUUGACCUCUAAAUAAAUUUGUGUCAAGCUAAA